rnacentral:tRNA from 1 species
AUUAGUAAGUUAAUAAACUAGUGCUGUCCAAAGGCAAAAUGAGAUUCAUCAGGUUCACCUAUUACUAAUA